CUUCAGAUUCCAUAUAACCAUAUAAUUCCCUGAUCUAAGCCACAGAAAUACCGUGGCAGUAUAACCAUUGUUAUUUCCUACAUGAAAAAUAUGGUUCCAACUAAAGAAAUCUUGAAACUUAUAACAACUGAAGGCAUCUUAUGGAUGUUCGAACUAAAGGCAUCUCAUAAAUCACUGGAAGCAUCAGACAGGUGACAUACAUCAAGACCUUAAACACAAUUCUAUGAAUACUGCACAAGCUUUUGACAUGUAGAUAUGAAGAUGCAUGAAACAUAAUAAUUCACUUCCAUCAUUCACUUUGAUACCAGUCGCAGAUGUAUUUCUAUUAAUUUAGUUAGCAUGACAUAAUUCCUAGUGAUACAUUAGAUCCAUCUCCUUAUUCAAAGUUUGUUGGAAGAUAAUUAAUUUGAAGUCUCAAUAUUCAAUAAACUCUAGUCAAGAUUUAUCUUUCUCAUUCUCUAUCAAUCAUCCCUGUUGAGAAAGACUAGCCAGCAAAUACCAAACCAAACAGUUGCCUUUGCAAGAGUAAAGAGAAAGGUCCAAAAUACUGAAAGUGUUUAGACACUAUAACCAGAGGUUGAUCAAAUUUGUAUAAAUUUUUCCCCUGACGAAACUAUGUCAAUGAACCCAAACUAAACCACACUGUUUAAUAAAUAAUAUAUCAUGAUGUAAUGCUCAAAAAAGUCUCCCCUCUCCUUUCGUUGGAGAAGAGCUGACCUAUCGCUAUUUUGGAUAUUUUUUAGAAAAUGUCAACAAAUUGCUCUUGAAGCUCCUUGUGCUCCUUUGAGCUAGUCUGUAGCCUGAUUUGUAUAAAAAGGAUUCUUCAGAUGUAAAUAUAUGUAAUGUUGAAUAUUUUAUUGAUGGAUAGCCUUGAGGAAUCUCUAUGAGUACUAGGUAAAAAUCGUGUGGGAGAUGUUGGACAUGUCUCCUCAAUUGAGUCAAUUAUUCAAUCUCACAGAGCUAAAAUCUCUUUCAUGAGUAUUCAUCAGAAUUUUGAACAGACAACUACAACCAGCCACGAUUACCAAAGAUCUCUUACCAAGUCUAUAUCAGGUUCGAAAACAAAAGUAAAGUAAAGAUUAAAUAGAUUGACACCCAAGUAGAAAUACACAAGGAAUACACUUUUAAGAAAUUCAUCACUCAAUGGAAUCCACAAAAGAGAUACAUAGUUUUCCAAGAGAAUGACAAGACUUUUCAAAUAAACAUAGACUUACCAUUCACAAUUUUAGUAGCUGUCUUCCUAAAUACAAUUUAAGACCUGUAUACAAUUUAAGAGCACAAUAUUUAAUGUGCAUAAUAUAUUCCACUAAUAAUUUGUAACAUUAGUAUGUAUGCGUACAUGGAUCUUUUUAACAUAUUAGAUCCAUCUUGUUAUUCAAAGUUAAUGAGAAGAUAAUAACGGUUAGUAUCAAUGUCAAUCAGCUCUUUAUCAGAUUACAGGCACAUUAAUGAUUUAAUGUGUAUGUUUCUUGUAAGACUAGUAACUGAGAUGCAUGUAUUACCCCUAGAGGAAUUAAAUUAUGGAUAGGGGUG
rnacentral:lncRNA from 1 species